rnacentral:misc_RNA from 1 species
UACGGAAGGUGCUAGCGUUAAUCGGAAUAACUGGGCGUAAAGCGCGCGUAGGCGGUUGUGUCAGUCAGAUGUGAAAUCCCCGGGCUUAACCUGGGAACUGCACCUGAUACUGCUUGACUAGAGUACGGUAGAGGGCAGUGGAAUUUCGUGUGUAGAGGUGAAAUGCGUAGAUAUAGGAAAGAACACCAGUGGCGAAGGCGACUGACUGGACUGAUACUGACGCUGAGGUGCGAAAGCGUGGGUAGCAAACAGG